UGAGCCGAAGUCGGAUGCUCAACUGACUGAGCCACCCAGGUGCCCCUCUUUAUAUUUAACCUUAAUGACUUCUGUAAUUUCUUUUAAAGUCUGAUAUACUAUAGGGCUCUAACUUAAUUAACAUCCACAUAGGCUUAACAAAACCUAGGAACCCCAUAAAGGUAAACCAUCAACUGCGUUACUAGAUAACAUUGCUUUUGGUAAAAAUGACCUUAAUCGGCCAAUUGCUCCCGGACAGGGAAGAGCCAUACAUGAAUUAUACCUGCCGACGAGGACACCAGGCUCAGGGCUUGGGGGAAGCCUGGAAUCUAUACCUGUCGGGGUUUUAUAAAGGAUAUGGCUCCUACAGGGUGCAAGGCUUAAUGAUGGGAGGAGCUAGGGACCCGAUGGAUGGCUGUGCGAAGCAGUCACCUGCAGGAGCUCCUGGAGAGACCACUCACUGCCCAGGAGAGGGAGAGCCAGCGCUGUCCUGCGGGCAAGCCGAGGUUUCUGCCCUCCUCCUUUCAGACUAGAAAAUCCAAGGGGAACCCGAUCUGAAUAUCUGGCUGAAUAAACGAAGAGCCCCACGGGGCACAGCACUGGUUGAUGACACCAACCAACACCAUUCGUUGAAUAUCCACCUUUCCCCUGGCUGAUUAAAUCAUCACCUAAGUUACAAUAAACUAAUCUAUUUACAUAAGACUGUGAGCCCUCUCUUCUAUUCUAUUGAUUUUUGUCCAUUAUACCGUUCUUCUGGUUUUGUGGUGUGCUUUACUAUCUGGGAGAUCAAAUCCGUCCUCACUGAUCUUUUUCAAAAUCUUCUUGGCUAUUUUUGUCAUUCCUUCAUCAUUCAGCAGUGUUUCUGGGGCUGCUCCGCACACCAGACAGGGCUGAGAAGACAGUACCGAACAACACACGAUGCCCCUUGUAGGGGUUUCCUGGGGCUGCUGGAACCAAGUAGCACAAACUGGGGCACUUAAAAUAACUGCAAUGUAUGCUCUCACGGUUUUAGGAGCCAGAGGUCCAAGAUCAGGUAUUGGCGGGACCCUGCUCCCUCUGAAGCCUCUAGAGGAGGUUCAUUCCUCGGCUCUUCUGGCUUCGGGAGGCUCUGG